rnacentral:snRNA from 1 species
GGAUCUGAAGGUGAUGUGGCUGCACUGUCUGCCACCUCUUGGAUCACCAGAGGUGACACUGCUAUCUGGCUGCCUGGACAGGUAUUUCCUUACUCCCUCAUUGCACACCUCCAGAACCUGAGCACGCGGUCAAGAGGACCAGGGUCCCCUAUAGAAAAUAACCAGUCUUCUGAAAAGGAUAUAUUAGAUUCACUGCACUAACCUGCUAGAAAUUUCAGACAAGUUCUCAAGAUCCUUUUAUUUUUAUUUGUUUACUUAUUUAUUUUUGAGACAAGGUCUCACUCUCUCACCCAGACUGGAGUG